rnacentral:rRNA from 1 species
GAGUUUGAUCCUGGCCAGGAUGAACGCUGGCGGCGUGCUUAACACAUGCAAGUCGAACGGUGAAGCUCAGCUUGCUGGGUGGAUCAGUGGCGAACGGGUGAGUAACACGUGAGCAACCUGCCCCGGACUCUGGGAUAAGCGCUGGAAACGGCGUCUAAUACUGGAUAUGAACUGCGACCGCAUGGUCAGUGGUUGGAAAGAUUUUUCGGUCUGGGAUGGGCUCGCGGCCUAUCAGCUUGUUGGUGAGGUAAUGGCUCAUCAAGGCGUCGACGGGUAGCCGGCCUGAGAGGGUGACCGGCCACACUGGGACUGAGACACGGCCCAGACUCCUACGGGAGGCAGCAGUGGGGAAUAUUGCACAAUGGGCGGAAGCCUGAUGCAGCAACGCCGCGUGAGGGAUGACGGCCUUCGGGUUGUAAACCUCUUUUAGCAAGGAGGAAGCGAAAGUGACGGUACUUGCAGAAAAAGCGCCGGCUGACUACGUGCCAGCAGCGCGGUAC